GCCAGUGUGGUGUAGUGGUUUGAACACUGGACUACAACUCUGGAGAUCAGGAUUCAAUUCCCUGCUUGGCCA
rnacentral:tRNA from 1 species